GGCAUUGUAUUGAGGUGAAGGAGGGCUGUAAGAAGAUGCUGCUUGGGUCGGGUACGCCUGUUGAGCAGGUGGUGAGUAGGAAGGAGCAGGUGGGCUGUAUUGAGGAGCUG